GAGGGAGAGGGAGAGAGAGAGAGAGAGAGAGAGAGAGAGAGAGAGAGAGAGAGAGAGGAGAUAUGAUAAUAUGGGGGAGUGUAUGAGUCUGACUUGACUGGAGGUCCAAGAGGACUUCGUGGGGGUACAUGUGAGAACCUCAAAAUAAAGAGUAGGGAGGACCAAGUAGAAAGUUGAGGCUGAGGGUUGGUGGAUGAGUGGGCCGCGAGAAGGGGAGGGGAACUGGAAUGGCCAGGGAGCCACAUAUUCCUCCUGAAUUUCCGUCCCCUGGUCUCUGACAGCCAAGCCCUGCUGACACAGCCUUUGGAGACCUGGAGUGUGAAGUUUAGCACCUCGGAGCCGCCCAGCCCCGCACGUUCAGCUCCAGCGUCCGGCUGGGGGAGCUGCUGCGCCAGACGUGGCCUUCCGAGGGCGCCACCGGGGCCCAGAUCUGAACCUUAGGGGCCACUGAAAGGAGCUAGGUGCACCGACGCCGCGUUUGCGCAGGAACCACUCGGCAAGCCGGGAAAGAAGAGCUCGUCAGAGGAUCUUUUCUGGAGUUGCAUAUGAUAUAACCAUAGGAACCUCCCGGCUCCCUAACUGCGGAGGGGGCCUCCUGGAAUCACCUCAAACACCGAUUGCCACCCGCCACUGCCCAGCCCUCCAAAGGCCUCGCCGUGGGCAGCUUUGGAGGUGACUGAAACACAGAAGUGCUCGCCAACGCAGCAACUCUCUUCUCUCAGGCUGUUAUUAGUCCUCGUGGAGGGUGGGCAGAUGAAGAAAGUGACUUACCCUGGAUCCCUGUCCUUACAUGAAGAGCUAGCUGCUGCAGCCAGCCCCGGAAUGAAAUGAAAAUCGCUCCGGCGGACCCCAAAGAGAUCGUCAGCCGAGGCGCCCCCGCCUCCCCGCCCCCACCCGCCUCCCCAGCUCCAGCCUCACGGCGCGCACAGGGUUAAGCGCGCGCCCGAGGGGGGUAUUUGAAUCCUAGGUGGGAGAAGAGGGGGCGCCGGGCGCAGCAGGCAGAGUAUCUGGGCUUGGUUUCGUCUGGUUCCCCCAAAACCCUGGGCAGAGGGGCGGGUCGGAUCGGAAAGGCCAGGCGCGUCUCCACCUCUCUGGCUGGCCCGGAGCCCGGUCUGGCCGCGGCCCGGAACGGCGAGGACGCUGUUCGGAGGCCGCGUCCUGCGCAGCCCGAGCGGGGGAGGGGGCGGAGGCGAAGGCUGGGAGCCCGGGCUGCGCGUCGCCGCCAGCCGAUCGAUCCCCUGGGGAGGGAGCGCCGCAAGCUACGCUGAACACCUGGGGGUGGAGUGGGGGGGUUGUCCCCCGCAGGACCUAGGACCGAACGAAGAUGGUGGUCGGGGAUCUUUUGGCGGUGGAUGGCGGCUGGUAGGGCCCACGCUUGCUGCCUGGCCUGCAGAUUACGCCUUGAGCACCCCCACACCCCCAAAUUCUACAUCGUGUUUGUGGAACUGGGCUUUGGGCAUUUCUACAACCUACUCUGACCUGGGUGCAACUUCGUCCUUCCCCGUGGAGCGCCCCCAACAUCCCGGGUCCAGGCCCCACCCCCACGCGCGAUGACGAAGUCGAGGGAUGUGGUCACUCAGUCCAACCUUCUGGCCCUCCUGAAUCCUGAGAUGUGUGGGUGUCCCUUUGAUUCCACCUCCAGAAAGAUAGUCUCGGUCAAGAAGUCCCUGGCUCAAUUCACUUCACCAAGAUGUUUUCCAGGGUGGUCCCUGAGGACUCCUGGGACAUCCGCUUGGCCCCUCACCUGCCAGCUCCAGUGCUCAGUGGUCGGAGCUGGGGCAGGGGCGCAGAGGCCUGCACUUGCGGAGCCCUCCCCUAGGGGGCGGGCUCCUCUCGGGCUGGCUCGAGGUCCCAGACUGCCCCGUCUGUCCUUAGUCUCUUUGACUGUAAGCUGGGCCCAGUGUGUUUGUAGGGGUGUUUCCCUGUCGCUGGGGUUGGCCGAGCAAUCUUCGAAGGCCCUGCCUCCUGUGCUCAACCCCGCCUUCACACUCCUGAGCCUUUGGAUAGAAACAGCCUUCCUCUGAGAGACUUUGAACCCUAGGAGUUCCUGAACACUCAAGACUGAACACAUUCUAGGUGAGGGCCAUUGUUUCCUCUGAGCUCUCUCCACAACCCCCACCCCCCACCCCAAGCUUGGUGCCCUUCCACCCAGAAAGGAGUCUCCUGAGAGGCAAGUGUUCAUUGUUAAAUUGGAAGCCUUUAAAAGAGUUCAAGGCACCCUUGUUCUGUUCUCAAAAGAACUUCGAAGAAGGGGCAGGUAUGUGGGGAAGCCAGCAGUGGGGUCAGCAGUGGAGGGUCCUGGGAGAACUGGAAAAGGUCAGCAGGUAAACGCAUGGCCUUCUAUAAGAAGCCUAACACGGUACAGAAGUUCCUAUCUCUAAUGUAAGCAGUUGACAAGAAAGGAAGAGCUAGGAGUGCAAGGUCAGCCUGGACUACAUGAGACCCCAUCUCAAAGAGAAGUGUUCAUAUUUUCCUCACCGAUGGCUGCUUCAUGGUGACCAUGAUUGAGAUUAGAGUCCCAAGAGAUACCUUAGGUAGGGGAAGAGUGACCCAGAGACUUACACAAUUAUCAUGACCUUCAGAAGGAUGAGGCAUGGGCCACAUCGUGUCUCUCUGGGUUUUAUUUAUUUGUUUUGAGACAGGGCCUCUUGUAGCCUAGGCUGCAAACACCUUGUCCAUCUCCCUCUACCUCCUGAACGGGAGGAUUACAGGCCGGGGUCAUCAGACUUCAGACUUCCAGCUUCAGACUGUGUCUUGAAAGAUACGUAUUUAUAAUCACCCGGGUGACCUUCCAGAUAACCCCCCCCACCCCAUCCCACACCCCACCCCCUGCCUCCGCCCCUAGCCAUUGGCUGGAAGAACUGCCUGUAUGAGAAAAGGGCAGGCUCCUGUGGGGAGCCACCCUGCAAUCCUUCGGGACAAUUCUCCAUUUCCAGUGCAGUGCCCACUACGCUCAGGGAUUUCCGAAGAUGUUCUCAUUUUUUUUUUUUCCAGACAUGGUCUCAUGUAGCUCGAGCUGGCCUCAAACUUUGAAGUCGAGGAUGAUCUAGAACUCCCGAUCCUCUUGUUCUUGACUCCCGAGCUGGCGGGAUUACAGCUGUGUGCCACCACCCUGGAUUGUGCGCAGUGCUGGGGAUGAAAUCCAGGUGUUUGUGCGUGUCACAAAAGCGGUCUACCAGCCGAGCUGCGUCCCCAGUCUUAACUUCCUUUAUUACUUUUCGGUUGAUGGGUUUUCAUUUGGUCGGGACAAGGUCCCCCACUAUGUAGCCUUGGUUAGCACAGAACUGGACAUGUAGACCAGGCUGGCCUUGAACUCACAGAGCUCUGCCUGCCUCUACCUCCUGAGCGCUGGGAUCAGAAGUGUGCAGCGGCAUCACACUGUGUCAUAAUUUAUUUUUAGAAAUCAUAUAUUUAAAAUUUGUGGUGAUCUUUACAUGGUAGUACGUGCCUGCCAUCCCAACUACUUAGUAGCCUGCUGCAGGAGAAUCUUUUCUUCAUUUUCCUUUGGUGUACGUGUAUGUGUAUGUUCAGUGCCCACCGAGGCCAGAGGAGGGUAUUGGGUCUGUCCUUCGGAAGCUACAGGAAGUGGUGAAUCACUUGAGGCCACUUAACCCUGGUUGACAGAUAGAAGACGACCAAGUGUUCUUAAUCACUGAGCCAUCCCUCCAGCCCUCGAGGGGAGAGAAUCUUAAAUUAUUCCUCUUCCCCCUUCCCACUCCCCAGACAGGGUUUCUCUGUGUAGCCCUGUGCAGGCCUGGAUCUGGAUCUGUAGAUCUAUACAUCCAUAGACCAGGCUGGCCCAGAAUUCAGGGAUCUGCACACCUCUGCCUCCGGAGUGCCGAGGUUAAAGGUGUGUACCACCACCGCCCCAAAACCAUCUUCAGUUCAAGGCCGGUUUGGGAAAUUAAGCAAAACUUGUUAUAAAACCAAACAAACAAGAAUAAAGAUACACGGAUACACGGAUGAUCAAACAGGCUGAGGACAUGGUUCAGGGGCAGGGCCUUUUUAGCAUGUGGGGGGCCCUGCGUUCUACCCCAGCAGUGGGAAGAAAACUGGGUGAGAUACAUAGCACACUGUUUGCUGGCUUCGUCUUUUAGUGCUUAGUUUAGCUAUGUUAAGCUCACACACGUUGUUAGGCAGGCCACUCCCGAACUUGUAGAAUCUUCCAUUCUCCCACACGGAGACCUGUCUUCAUUAAAUACUCACAGUCCCCGUUCUUCAUUGCCUCUGUGAACUCGACUCUUUUUGAAAGAUCUUUAUUUUAUUACGUAUGUGGUGUGUGUAAGGAAACGGAUCCCCUGGAGUUGUAAAUGAUUAUGAGCUGCCAUGGGGGUGCUGGGAUACCCACCGGGGCCUCUUGCAGGGGCGACAAGUCUCGCCUCUCUGUCAAUCACCCUCCCUCCCUCCAUCACCACGGAGUGGCCAGCUGUGGCUCCACCCCUAAAUCUGACUGCCAUAAGGCCUCCUAUAAGGGGAAUCCCAUAGCAUUGCCUUCCUGUGUCCUGCUCACAGGGCCCGUGGCGUUCUCUAUGCUGUAACAGGUGUCUGAAUCCCCUUCCUUAGGAAGCCUGAAUAAUAUUCCAUCACAGGUAGAGACAUGUGUCGUUGAGAUCAGGACCACAAACAAGGUCAGAGGGAACUUUUUAGUUUUCACUGUAGCCUGCUAGUCAUUAUGCCAACAGGGUUGAGGGUAUAAUUUUUUUUCUUUUAAGACAGGAUCUCACUGGGUCACCCUGUCUGUCCCGGAACCCUGUGUAGGCCGGGCUGGGCUCGACUUUCCGAUGCACCUGUAUCUGCCUCCUGCACAUUUUGGGAUUUAAGGCAUGUGUCACCAGGCCAGCUUGAAGAUACACUUUUUUUUCCCUUUUUUCUUUUUUUUUGGAGCUGGGGACUGAACCCAGGGCCUUGCGCUUGCUAGGCAAGCGCUCUACCACUGAGCUAAAUCCCCAACCCCCAAAGAUACACUUUUUAAUACUGUUUCAUGAGGGCUGAUGUAGUGGGACUCCAUGAAGGUCAGAAUGUAAGCUGGUUCCGGCUGUGGAAGGACAUCUCUGGGACCCAGGCCUGAAACGUGGGCAUCUUCUGGCCACUUCCCCUUCCUGCAGAAUUCUCUGAACCUAUGGCUGCAGGGGCUGUGGAAGCAGCAGACACAGGGGCUGUGGAAGCAGCAGGUACAGGGACUGUGGAAGCAGCAGGUACAGGGACUGUGGAAGCAGCAGGUACAGGGACUGUGGAAGCAGCAGGUACAGGGGCUGUGGAAGCAGCAGACAGACGGAGCCAGAAUAGAAGCACCAAGCCUGCUGCUUCCCUUCUCUCCACAGAAGUGGCUCUGGCAGUACCAAUUUCUCCCGGAUGUCCGUCUGGCCUAUGUCAGUGAGCUGACUGCCCUGCGACUUGACAGUAAUGAUUGUAAUGGGGGUGAUUCUAUAUUCUUUGACUAGUUUGAAUUGGAAGGUUCAGAAGAGGCCUCCCACCCCCACCCCUUUGCCUGAAGCUGGUGUUAGCUUCUAUUAGAGAGAAUGGAGUCGCCUCUCAAAUGCAGUGCCAUAGAGAGGCGAGAUACUUCCGAUGUUCAACCUGCUGGUGAUGGCUGGAUUUUAUUUUCCCACCCCGGGGGACCAAGAAUUAGUACUAUAAAAGCCAAGGAAUGUUGUAUGGAGCCACGGAAAUCAUCCGUAGGAGCUGGUGUGGGAGAGCACGCUUUCUUGGAAUUCUAAAAGACAGCCGCAGCUGUUAAGUACACACAGAGACAGGCUGAGGAUUCUCCCUCCCACACUGGGCUACAGUGGCUUUCUUCUCAUCUCCUUCCUGUUUUCCCACCAGAGACUCUAGAGCAGUGCCUGGAAUGCAGUGGGUGACACCGUGCGCUGGUCAGUGGAUAUACAGGGCUUUAUCCAGAGCAGGUUUUUCGAGACAGGAUUUCUCUGUGUACCCCUGGAUGUCCUGGAACUCAGUCUGUAGACCAGCUUGGCCUUGAUUUCAGAGUUCUGCCCAACCCUGCCUCCUGAGUGCUGGGAUUAAAGAUGUGUGCUACCACUGCCUGACUAAAGGCUUUAUUUUUAAUUACAUUGAGAGAGAGGGUGUAUGUGUGUGUUUGUAUGUAUGCAUGUAUGUGUGGGUGUAUGUGUGUGCAUGUGUAUGAGUAUGUAUUUAUGUUGUGUUUGUAUAUGUGUAUAUAUGCAUGUAUGUGUGUAUGUAUGCAUGUUUGUAUAUGUGUGCAUGUGGUUUUAUAUGUGUGCAAAAGUGUAUGUUCAUGUGUGUAUAUGUGUGUGCAUAUGUGCAUGUUAUGUGUAUGUUCAAGUGUGUAUAUAAGUGUGUGCAUUUGUGUAUAUGUGUGUGCAUGUGUCUAUGUUCAUGUAUAUAUGUGUGUGUGCAUGUCUAUGUAUGUUUGUAUAUGUGUGUGUGUGUGUGUGGCUUUAUGUGUGUGUAUAUGUGAUGUUCCUAUGUGUAUAUGUGUGUGUGCAUGUGUGUUGCGUGUGUGUGUGUGUGUGUGUGUGUGUGUGUGUGUGUAAAAGAGCCUAUAUGGUCAGUGCUUGCCAGCUGUUGGCCUCUGCCGCCCAUUCUCUUUUGGUCAUCUUUCCUGAAGCCCCACAUCUCCUUUCUGAGAGCAUGGGUCAGAGGAUAGAGCUGAAGUGGGACUAUGUUUUGGUGCUUCAGUUUCCCUACGCUGAUAAAAUGUCUGAUAUUCAGAGAGGGGUACUGGCCUCAUAGGCAGACCGCUUCAGACUGCUCCUGGAGGGAAGGUGGUGCCACACACAAGCUGUUCUCGUUAGUAAUGCUUUGGUUGUUUUUCCUAUUAAGACAGGGCAGGGGCUGGAGAGAUGGCUCAUGGUCAAGAGUGUGUACUGCUCUUGCAGAGGACCUGAGUUCUGUCUCCAGCACCCACAUGUGACAACUCACAGCCACCUAUAAUUCCAGCUCCAGAGGAUCCAUCACCUGCCUUCACAGCAUACACACUCCCCACCCCUGACAUGAUUUAAAACAAAACCUUUGUUGUUGUUUUAAAGGACAGGGGUCUGGAGAGAUGGCUCAGCAGUUAAGAGCACUUGUUGCUCUUGAGAAUGACCAGGAUUCCGUUCCCAGCAUGCACAUGGUGGUUCACAUCCAUCUGUACCUCAAGUUCCAGGGGAUCCAAUGUUCUCUUCUGACGUCUAUGAGUACUAGGAAUGCAUGUGGUACAUACUUAUACAUACACACAAGGAAAACCCGACAUCCACAAAAUAAAAACUAGAAUAGAUAAAAUUAUAUAAAAACCAAACAAACGGGGUUGGGGAUUUAGCUCAGCGGUAGAGCACUUGCCUAGCAAGCGCAAGACCCUGGGUUCGGUCCCCAGCUCCGAAAAAAAGAAAAAAAAAACCAAACAAACAAAUAAAGCAGAAACCAGGGCAGCCAGGUCGCCGGUCAUGUAUCCCUGAUGGACAUCAGGAGGGGGUGGAAUUGAGGCUCAAGGAAGGCCUCCCUGAACCUGUGGUGAUAAAUCCUGUCUUGUGACUGUCUGGGCCCCUUCCCCACUAGCCGAGUGACAAGUCUGUCAUGUCCCUGGGGAAGCUGAGACACGUGUCAGAUGUGUGACACGUGACAUCUCACGUAUGAGAUGGGGUCUCAGCCCUGAACUGUGGAGACCUUCCAGGUGCGGAGACCUCAGGGCAGACUUAAGAGUAGCAGGACCAUCUGAGGCUGGCACUGCCAGCCUUGUGGGUGACAUUUGGAUACAGGGUGUUGUGUUAAUAAAAGGAUAAAGAAAGGCGGUGUCUCAGCGGUCCCAUGCUGAGACAUCCCUUCCCCCUGAGGGGGGGCUACAGCCCCUCUAGAGUAUAGAAUAGAGUUUAUCUAGGGCACUGGGAGGGAAAUAUAAGAGAGAUGGCUCAGUGGUUAAGAGCACUGGCUGCUCUUCCAGAGGUCCUGAGUUCAAUUCCCAGCAACCACAUGGUGGCUCACAACCAUCUGUAAUGGGAUCCGACGCCCUCUUCUGGUGUGUCUGAAGACAGCUACAAGUGUACUCAUAUAAAUAAAAUAAAAUUUUAAAAAAAGAGGGUAGUAAGUCGGGGGGGAAGGGAACGGGGAGAGGGAGGACAAAGUGGGAAAAAGAAGAAGAAGAAGAAGAAGAAGAAGAAGAAGAGCAAGAGGAAGCAAGAGAGGGAGGAGGGAACAAGCAGCCUCUUUUAUAGUGUCAGGCACACCUGGCAGUUGCCAGGUAACCAUGGGGCGGAGCUUAGACAGAAUGCUAACACGGGGAAGACUUCUUGUCCACUAUUCAGGGUGAACCCACUACUGGGUCUAUUUGCUCCUGGGAAGCUCUUGGGUGCAGGAGAGUGAUGGAUUUGUAGCAGAGGCCGUUACAGAUGAACAAUGUGCUGUCACUCUGUUAGGGCCUGGGUUCUCCUUGAGAAGAAAAACCUUUAGCUCACAGAUGGAGGUUUGAGUGUCCAGCUGAACAGACCUGGACCACGUGUUUUUGGGGAGGAUUAUGGAAGGAUUAUGGAACUCUGGGCUAGAAAGCCAUCGAGGGUUGAGAGCUCAGUGAGCUCCUGUUCUGUAGGAGUGAGAAUGUGGAGGGCAGUGCAGACGAGGGAGGCCUGGCUUGUGACGUUACAGAGGACGCGAAGAUCCUAUAGGGC
ensembl:lncRNA